rnacentral:rRNA from 1 species
GAUGAACGCUAGCUACAGGCUUAACACAUGCAAGUCGAGGGGAAACGGCAUCGAAAGCUUGCUUUUGAUGGGCGUCGACCGGCGCACGGGUGAGUAACGCGUAUCCAACCUGCCCAUCACUUGGGAAUAACCUUGCGAAAGUAAGACUAAUGCCCAAUGACAUCCCACGAAGGCAUCCGAAUGGGAUUAAAGAUUUAUCGGUGAUGGAUGGGGAUGCGUCUGAUUAGCUUGUUGGCGGGGUGACGGCCCACCAAGGCAACGAUCAGUAGGGGUUCUGAGAGGAAGGUCCCCCACAUUGGAACUGAGACACGGUCCAAACUCCUACGGGAGGCAGCAGUGAGGAAUAUUGGUCAAGGGGCGAGAGCCUGAACCAGCCAAGUAGCGUGCAGGAGGACGGCCCUAUGGGUUGUAAACUGCUUUUAGAAGGGAAUAAAGUGGGUCACGUGUGACUUUUUGCAUGUACCUUAUGAAUAAGGACCGGCUAAUUCCGUG